rnacentral:rRNA from 1 species
UACGGGGGGAGCAAGCGUUGUCCGGAAUUACUGGGCGUAAAGGGCGCGUAGGCGGCCUGCUAAGUCGAACGUGAAAUCCCCGGGCUCAACCCGGGAACUGCGUCCGAUACUGGCAGGCUUGAAUCCGGGAGAGGGAUGCGGAAUUCCAGGUGUAGCGGUGAAAUGCGUAGAUAUCUGGAGGAACACCGGCGGCGAAGGCGGGUCUCUGGGCAGUAACUGACGCUGAGGAGCGAAAGCGUGGGGAGCGAACAGG